AGUUCUAUGGCUGAUUAAACCAGGUGAAAUGCAGGCUUUAAGUAAGCCAGUCACAGAAUCUGUGUAAUGGCUAUCCUGAGCUUUUGUCAUGUGUGUUGCCAUUUUUAAUACUGUGUGCAGCUGAUUGUGUGAAUUAUUGGAGUGAUCCAGAUCUCUGCAUGUUUACUGAAUAUUCUAUUCAACUGCCACACAUCACAGCAAGUGCAACAGUUUGGCUCAUUUUCAAAUACAAACCUCUGCCUGUUUACUGGAUUCCACUGUCUGUGUCCACUCACCUCUACAAGUUUAAUGGAUUGCCUCAUCUCCCUGCCACUAACUCCUGCUGAAUGAUUGAACCUCUUACAGCAUUACUGAUCCUCUCCAUGCAUUGCAAACUGGGUCCCCAUGGUAACGCGGCCUGGCCGGGCGCCGUGACGUCACUUCCGCAUCAUGUGGUAUGCAUCAUGUGGUGCGCUGUGGACGCCGGGCUGAGAGCGCGGGAGACGCGGCCGUGGAAGACGCUGGCGGGGAAACUGAUCAGGGGGGAGUCUGGAAAAUGUGUCUUGAAGAAAUCCAAUACUUGGUCUUCUGUGCAGAUUUUUUCAAAGUCUUCAAAGGGCAUGAACAGAGUGCAUGUAAAAGACUUAUCCUGGGAGCAUAAAAUAAAACUUCAUUAGGCCUUGAACCAGCUUCUGAACUACCUAAAUGGCCUACUAUCAAGGGACAUAUACCAUCUCCAGUACUCUUGCUGCCUUGGCCGAAAAACAAUUCAGGACACCGUACAUUUAGUGAGGACAAUUGCCUUCCUGAACCGUGGACAGGAUCCUGCUUCAAGCGGUGACUAUUGUGGGCACACACUCUUUCCUUACCAACUGUGCAUUAUACUCAGGAGUACUGUAUGUUGAACUAUAUCAUUCUAAACAGUCGUAGUCCAGAAUUGUUAUAGGAACAAGCCUUACUAUAUACUGUUACUGUUUGUGCUGUGUGGGUGUUGAACAUUUUUUUGUGCAUAUAUCUGAGUGUGUGUCAUGUUGCUGUGCAUAUAUGUGUGUGUGCGUUUCAGGCCGCUGUCCUUAUAUGUGAGUGUGUGUCAGGCCUUUGUGAGUAUUUCUGAGUGUGUGAGGCCGCUGUGCAUAUAUGUGUGUGUCACACCACGAUGUGUAUAUAUGUGUGUAUGUCAAGCCACUGUGCGUAUGUGUGUGUGUGUGGUAGCCAACUGUGCAUAUACAUAUCUCCCAACUGUCCCGAUUUUCGGGGACUGUCCCGCUGUCCCGCCCGCGGGCCACAGUGUCCCGCGGUGGGGGGCAGUUGGGAGGCUCUGUCUCUCGCUGCGCUGCUUAGCAGAGCAGCGGUGAAUAGACGCUGUGCGCAUGCGCACAACGUCUAUUCACUGAAGUCAGAGGGAGAGGGGGCAUGCCAGCGACUCACAGAGCGCUGGGCAUGCCCUUUCAGUGACAAAAAUGGGGCGUGGCUCGCGACCGCGGGUCCUCCAUGAAGCCACACCCCUUUCCUUAGGUCACGCCCCUUCGCCGCGCGUGUGUCCCUCUUUAUAAAGAUGAAAUGUUGGGAGGUAUGUGUAUAUGUGUGUGUCAGGCCACUGUGCUGUGUGUGUCAGGCCACUGUGCUGUGUUUAUGUGUGUAUGUGUCAGGCUACUGUGCUGUGUGUAUAUGUGUGUGUGUGUGUCAGGCCACUGUACUGUUAGACCAGAUGUCUUUUGCUGCAGAGCUUCACCUACAUCAGCCAGUGUCUUGCACCGGUGUUUAGCCCAGUAGACAGAGCCAAGUUUACAGCUCGAGCACUAGCACAUGGGGGGUAAUUCGGACCUGAUCGUAGCAGCAAAUUUGUUA